rnacentral:tRNA from 1 species
AAGAUUAAAACAUAGGCUUCUAACCUAAUAACAAUGAUUUCACUCAUUUAAUCUUU